rnacentral:rRNA from 1 species
GACGAACGCUGGCGGCGUGCUUAACACAUGCAAGUCGAACGGAAAGGCCUGCUUUCCCUUGUGGAUUGCGGGUACUCGAGUGGCGAACGGGUGAGUAACACGUGAGUGAUCUGCCCCCAACUUGGGUAUAAGCCUGGGAAACUGGGUCUAAUUCCCGAUAGGACUGCAGGGUGGUGCCUGUGGUGGAAAACGAUUUUCUAGUGGUUGGGGAUGAGCUCGCGGCCUAUCAGCUUGUUGGUGGGGUAAUGGCCUACCAAGGCGGCGACGGGUAGCCGGCCUGAGAGGGUGGACGGCCACAUUGGGACUGAGAUACGGCCCAGACUCCUACGGGAGGAAGCAGUGGGGAAUAUUGCACAAUGGGCGGAAGCCUGAUGCAGCGACGCCGCGUGGGGGAUGACGGCCUUCGGGUUGUAAACUCCUUUCGACCGCGAGGAAGCCACCUGGUUGGAAGGGUGGUGACGGUAGUGGUAGAAGAAGCACCGGCUAACUACGUG